UGCUGGGACAUGGAUGGAGCUGGAGGCC
rnacentral:piRNA from 1 species